CCUACGGGAGGCAGCAGUGGGGAAUUUUGGACAAUGGGCGAAAGCCUGAUCCAGCAAUGCCGCGUGAGUGAAGAAGGCCUUCGGGUUGUAAAGCUCUUUUGUCAGGGAAGAAACGGUGAGAGCUAAUAUCUCUUGCUAAUGACGGUACCUGAAGAAUAAGCACCGGCUAACUACGUGCCAGCAGCCGCGGUAAUACGUAGGGUGCAAGCGUUAAUCGGAAUUACUGGGCGUAAAGCGUGCGCAGGCGGUUUUGUAAGUCUGAUGUGAAAUCCCCGGGCUCAACCUGGGAAUUGCAUUGGAGACUGCAAGGCUAGAAUCUGGCAGAGGGGGGUAGAAUUCCACGUGUAGCAGUGAAAUGCGUAGAUAUGUGGAGGAACACCGAUGGCGAAGGCAGCCCCCUGGGUCAAGAUUGACGCUCAUGCACGAAAGCGUGGGGAGCAAACAGGAUUAGAUACCCUGGUAGUCCACGCCCUAAACGAUGUCUACUAGUUGUCGGGUCUUAAUUGACUUGGUAACGCAGCUAACGCGUGAAGUAGACCGCCUGGGGAGUACGGUCGCAAGAUUAAAACUCAAAAGGAAUUGACGG
rnacentral:rRNA from 1 species